AUUGAACGCUGGCGGCAUGCCUUACACAUGCAAGUCGAACGGCAGCACGGGUGCUUGCACCUGGUGGCGAGUGGCGAACGGGUGAGUAAUACAUCGGAACAUGUCCUGUAGUGGGGGAUAGCCCGGCGAAAGCCGGAUUAAUACCGCAUACGAUCUACGGAUGAAAGCGGGGGACCUUCGGGCCUCGCGCUAUAGGGUUGGCCGAUGGCUGAUUAGCUAGUUGGUGGGGUAAAGGCCUACCAAGGCGACGAUCAGUAGCUGGUCUGAGAGGACGACCAGCCACACUGGGACUGAGACACGGCCCAGACUCCUACGGGAGGCAGCAGUGGGGAAUUUUGGACAAUGGGCGAAAGCCUGAUCCAGCAAUGCCGCGUGUGUGAAGAAGGCCUGCGGGUUGUAAAGCACUUUUGUCCGGAGAGAAAUCCUUGGCCCUAAUACGGUCGGGGGAUGACGGUACCGGAAGAAUAAGCACCGGCUAACUACGU
rnacentral:rRNA from 1 species